UUGACGGGGAGCACCACAACGGGUGGAGCUUGCGGUUUAAUUGGAUUCAACGCCGGAAAUCUUACCGGGACCGACAGCAAUAUGAAGGCCAGGCUGAAGACUUUGCCGGAUUAGCUGAGAGGUGGUGCAUUGGCCGUCGUCAGUUCGUACUGUGAAGCAUCCUGUUAAGUCAGGCAACGAGCGAGACCCACGCCCACAGUUGCCAGCGUACUCUCUGGAGUGACGGGUACACUGUGGGGACCGCCGCUGCUAAAGCGGAGGAAGGAAUGGGCAACGGUAGGUCAGUAUGCCCCGAAUAUCCCGGGCUACACGCGAGCUACAAUGGUUGGUACAAUGGGUAUCUACCCCGAAAGGGGACGGGAAUCUCCUAAAACCAAUCUUAGUUCGGAUUGAGGGCUGCAACUCGCCCUCAUGAAGCUGGAAUCCGUAGUAAUCGCGUUUCGACAGAACGCGGUGAAUACGUCCCUGCUCCUU
rnacentral:rRNA from 1 species